GGGCGAAUAGCUCAGUGGUGAGAGCGUCUGCCUUACAAGCAGAAGGUCACCCGUUCAAAUCGGGUUUCGCCCA
rnacentral:tRNA from 1 species